CAGCCGCCACGGUAAUACGAAGGGUGCAAGCGUUAAUCGGAAUUACUGGGCGUAAAGCGUGCGCAGGCGGACCGCUAAGACAGAUGUGAAAUCCCCGGGCUUAACCUGGGAACUGCAUUUGUGACUGGCGGGCUAGAGUAUGGCAGAGGGGGGUAGAAUUCCACGUGUAGCAGUGAAAUGCGUAGAGAUGUGGAGGAAUACCGAUGGCGAAGGCAGCCCCCUGGGCCAAUACUGACGCUCAUGCACGAAAGCGUGGGGAGCAAACAGGAUUAGAUACCCCGGUAGUCCCUGUCUCUUAUAC
rnacentral:rRNA from 1 species